GACGAACGCUGGCGGCGUGCUUAACACAUGCAAGUCGAACGGUAAGGCCCUUCGGGGUACACGAGUGGCGAACGGGUGAGUAACACGUGGGUGAUCUGCCCUGCACUUCGGGAUAAGCCUGGGAAACUGGGUCUAACACCGGAUAGGACCACUGCCUGCAUGGGUGGGGGUGGAAAGCCUUUGCGGUGUGGGGGGGGCCCGCGGCCCAUCAGCUUGUUGGUGGGGUGGUGGCCUACCAAGGCGACGACGGGUAGCCGGCCUGAGCGGGUGACCGGCCACACUGGGACUGAGAUACGGCCCAGACUCCUACGGGAGGCAGCAGUGGGGAAUAUUGCACAAUGGGCGCAAGCCUGAUGCAGCGACGCCGCGUGAGGGAUGACGGCCUUCGGGUUGUAAACCUCUUUCAGCACCGACGAAGCGCAAGUGACGGUAGGUGCAGAAGAAGGACCGGCCAACUACGUGCCAGCAGCCGCCGCGG
rnacentral:rRNA from 1 species